AGGGAUUUAGCUUAGCGGCAUAAGCACCUGCCUGGCAAGCACGUGGUCGUGAGUCUAAUCCCCA
rnacentral:tRNA from 1 species